UUUACAUCCCUUACAAGCCAACAUUUUUUUUUUCUAUUUUUACGCCUAAAAUCACUCCCACAUAUCAACAGUUACAUCAAUCACUCAAUUUUUUAAUUUCAAAUCUAUUCUCUCUCAUGUUCAUCAAUUUCAAGUUCCUAAAGAGAUCUAUUCAACUCAUUAUGAUUCCGAAGAUGAUGAUUGGGCUGAAAAUAGAUCCAAAAGCUUGUAGGAUCUAUUAACAAUGAAGAUGAUAAUAUUUAGAAGACGAAAUCGAAGAAGAAUGAAACUUCAUCUUUAAAGCGAAUGUGGAAGACCCCCCAAAAAGGAUAGAAUUAUUGCAUUUGCGAUGUGAUGUAUUUUUUUUAAGAAAAUGAUCUAAGAUUAACAAUCUUAGGAGGUUCGUUUCUGGAUAAUUGGUUAUUUCUCUAAAAAAUUUAUUAUUUUGAAUUUAAAUUUUAAUGUAUUUUAAUUUUGAUCUUA